ACACACUGACAUAUACACAACUUGAAACACAGAUACAUGCACUGGCACAUACACACACAAAUACCCACACUAUCCCAUACACACAGACACUCAGAAACACCCACACCGACACACACACUGGCUGGCAAAAUGUGGCCACACUGCCACUGGCGUGCAUACCGGGUCACAAGGCGGCCGGGCCCGGUCGGAGCCAUGACCCCUGCGACCCCGGUAUGUACACCACUAGGGUGAGUAAUCAGUGGGGUGGUGGUGGGGGGGGGGGUAUUAUUGAGGGCAUUUAUCA